GGACGAACGCUGGCGGCGUGCUUAACACAUGCAAGUCGAACGAUGAAGCCCAGCUUGCUGGGUGGAUUAGUGGCGAACGGGUGAGUAACACGUGAGUAACCUGCCCCUGACUCUGGGAUAAGCGUUGGAAACGACGUCUAAUACUGGAUAUGACUACUGGUCGCAUGGCCUGGUGGUGGAAAGAUUUUUUGGUUGGGGAUGGACUCGCGGCCUAUCAGCUUGUUGGUGAGGUAAUGGCUCACCAAGGCGACGACGGGUAGCCGGCCUGAGAGGGUGACCGGCCACACUGGGACUGAGACACGGCCCAGACUCCUACGGGAGGCAGCAGUGGGGAAUAUUGCACAAUGGGCGAAAGCCUGAUGCAGCAACGCCGCGUGAGGGAUGACGGCCUUCGGGUUGUAAACCUCUUUUAGUAGGGAAGAAGCGAAAGUGACGGUACCUGCAGAAAAAGCACCGGCUAACUACGU
rnacentral:rRNA from 1 species